UACGUAGGGUGCAAGCGUUGUCCGGAAUUAUUGGGCGUAAAGGGCUCGUAGGCGGUCCAUCACGUCGGGAGUGAAAAGCUGGGGCUUAACCCCAGUCCUGCUUCCGAUACGGGUGGACUAGAGGUAGGUAGGGGAGAACGGAAUUCCUGGUGUAGCGGUGAAAUGCGCAGAUAUCAGGAGGAACACCGAUGGCGAAGGCAGAUCUCUGGGCCGAUACUGACGCUGAGGAGCGAAAGCGUGGGGAGCGAACAGG
rnacentral:rRNA from 1 species